UGUAGUCAUAAUAUAAUACUUUCCUUCGCACUGUAUUUUUCAAUUUUAGUAAUUAUUUAACACUUGUUGACGGACACAUGUUACUGUGAGACAAAGCAAUCACUGUAUUUGUAUCAAAGCUUGUAUCGAUGUCCAUUUUGUGCAACCAAUGUUUUUAAAAGAUGUGAAAGACACAAGAUACUUGGACAUUUGCAACGUCACAGACUUUGCGCAGUUCAGCAUGUACGUUGAAGUUUCUGUAAAAAAAACUGCAUUCUAUUUCCAUAAUGGAGCAACUCACACUUUGUGAAUGAUGAAGUCUGAAGUGUAUUAAAGGAUUUGUUGUCAUUUCUGAAAUUGAAAACUGAAAUGUAAUAUGCAUAUCAUAAUCAUAUUGUGUGAAAGAAAAAUUCAUUUUACUCAUCUAUGUGCUUAUGGAAUAUUGUGUAGAGUCUGCUUUAUUUAAACCUGGUAUAAGAAUGACAUAAGAGAAGGGUGUUAGGCACUAAAUAUAAAGAUUUGAUUCUUGGGAGUAUCACGUAGCAGAAUGUAUUUGUCUGACCCUUACUACGCGUGGAAAGUUACCAGUUAGGAGAUAUAAACUGAAGUGAGCCCUCCCUUCUGGGUCGCACU